rnacentral:rRNA from 1 species
CAGCAGCCACGGUAAUACGAAGGGGGCUAGCGUUGCUCGGAAUUACUGGGCGUAAAGGGCGCGUAGGCGGGCAAUUAAGUCGGGGGUGAAAGCCCGGGGCUCAACCUCGGAAUUGCCUUCGAUACUGGUUGUCUUGAGUGUGAGAGAGGUGUGUGGAACUCCGAGUGUAGAGGUGAAAUUCGUAGAUAUUCGGAAGAACACCAGUGGCGAAGGCGACACACUGGCUCACUACUGACGCUGAGGCGCGAAAGCGUGGGGAGCAAACAGGAUUAGAUACCCCCGUAGUCCCUGUCUCUUAUAC